UGAAAGGUUGGAACUUCAGCAGCUAAACCACUUGUAAGGAGGGGUGUCUGUGGAGAAGUUGCCAGUUUCCAGGUGUGGUUUCAACUUGGACCUUAGUCUCUGCUCAGCAGACACUAUCUGGAGUAGGAUGGACUGCAUCUGGUCACAUACUGGCAGUUUGCUUGUUCUCUCUCUCUCUUCUCCUCCCUUCCUCCCUCUCCCUGCUCCCCUCUUUCCUUACUCCCUGUAUAAAUCCUGUUGUUGUUUUUUUUUUCUCCCCAUGUGGCUGCUUUAGAGUCAUGCCCUGAAGCUAUAAGUAUGUGGGUGAGGAACCACCAAAUAGGUCACCCUAAAUCUCUUGGGUUUGCCCCAUUUCAUGACCAUACAGAAAUCACUCUGAAAUGGCCUCCAUGGGCAAUGAGGGUGAGAUAAGUGGCUUGAGAAAUAUAUUCAGAGAAAGUAAUACAGAAGUUGAAAUCUGAAAUUCCUGGCAUUCCAGGUAGGGGAGCAGCAUGGGCAAUGACAAAAGAGAGUCUAAGACAAGAGUCUGGAGCAGCUGCAGCACACUAUGCAGAUGGCUGUCUUAUUAAGGUCAGAAAGAGACAGAAAGCCAGAGGCAGGCAGCAGCCAGGCCAGGACCACAACUCAGACCAACUGAAGACAAUGUGAAACCAUCGUCCAAAGAGAUCCCUACAACCUACAAGGUGCAUAGUUAUGUAACCGGUAUGGCCAUAUGGAAUAUGGCACAAUAAGAAGAAAGUAAUUGCCCCUACAUGCAAUGGCCUGAGUGAAUCAGAGAAUUAUGCUGAAUACGAUGCCUCUUGGAAGUAUAGAAGAGAUCUAAUGUCAUCUGACUCUUGUCUGCCAACCAUUCGGACCAGGUCAAUGCAGAAACGCCCUUCUAUCUGCCAUCUGAAUCUGAACUUUUUUAGAAGUGCUAAAGGAUUUCUAAACAAAUCAGCAUUGGCAAGAAAUGAUUAUAAACUGAUGAUAU